CGCCCGGCGCCGGGCGGCGGCCGCUGCUGUCUGCUGCCGCGCCGCUUCGGCUUCGCCUACGCCGCGUCGUCGGCGGUGGGGCCGGGCUGCGCCGUGCUCGACCAGGCCUUCCGGCGCUACUGGGAGCUGCUCUUCGCCGGUGCCCGCUCGGAGGGGCAUGAGCAACCCUGCGGAAAGCCCUGUGCCCAGCUCCUGGUCUCUGUGGCCUCUCCAGGGUGCGAUGGGUUUCCCAGCCUGGACUCCAAGGAGAGCUAUGAGCUCUCCAUCGCAGAGGACUCCUUGCUGCUGUCUGCAGAUGCUGUCUGGGGAGCUCUCAGAGGCCUGGAGACGUUCAGCCAGCUUGUUGGGCGAGACGAGGAUGGCACGUACU
rnacentral:lncRNA from 1 species